GUGAGAGCGGGGGGAGUGGCAAG
rnacentral:miRNA from 1 species